rnacentral:rRNA from 1 species
AUCUCUCGAGCAGCCGACACGCAGAUAGGCCCAUUGUCUUCAUAGUUCGUGAUCCAUGACUGUGCAAUUCCACAUAACUAUGCAUCGUGCUGUAUGAUGCAGCACCCACGCUCCGUUGUGAAAGUUUGAUUGCAUUUGAAAUUUUGCUCAAGCCGUAAAAAACUACGUCCCUCAGUGCACCUACCAGAAGAGUUGUUGGUUCUUCCGGCGGCGCCUGGUUCGGGGUGCGACGCACCCGGGCGUGACCCCGCCGAGGCAACAGUUUGGUAACGUUCACAUUGGUUUGGAGUUGUAAACUCGGUAAUGAUCCUUCUGUAGGGGUGACCUGCGGAGGGAUCAUUGAACGGGGUUUACAACUCCCAAACCCAAUGUGAACGUUACCAAACUGUUGCCUCGGCGGGGUCACGCCCCGGGUGCGUCGCAGCCCCGGAACCAGGCGCCCGCCGGAGGAACCAACCAAACUCUUUCUGUAGUCCCCUCGCGGACGUAUUUCUUUACAGCUCUGAGCAAAAAUUCAAAAUGAAUCAAAACUUUCAACAACGGAUCUCUUGGUUCUGGCAUCGAUGAAGAACGCAGCGAAAUGCGAUAAGUAAUGUGAAUUGCAGAAUUCAGUGAAUCAUCGAAUCUUUGAACGCACAUUGCGCCCGCCAGUAUUCUGGCGGGCAUGCCUGUCCGAGCGUCAUUUCAACCCUCGAACCCCUCCGGGGGAUCGGCGUUGGGGAUCGGGACCCCUCACACGGGUGCCGGCCCCUAAAUACAGUGGCGGUCUCGCCGCAGCCUCUCCUGCGCAGUAGUUUGCACAACUCGCACCGGGAGCGCGGCGCGUCCACGUCCGUAAAACACCCAACUUUCUGAAAUGUUGACCCCUCGGAUCAGGUAGGAAUACCCGCUGAACUUAAGCAUAUCAAUAGCCGGAGGAAAAUUCCAUUACGGAAUUUUACAACUCCCAAACCAUGUGAAACGUUUCCAAACGGUUGCCUCGGGCGGGGUCAGCCCCGGGAGCGUCGAGCCCCGGAACCGGGCCCGCCGGAAGAAACAACAAACUUUUUGGGUGCCCCGGGAAGA